UACGAAGGAGGCGAGCGUUGUUCGGAUUUACUGGGCGUAAAGGGCGCGUAGGCGGCCCUCCUUGUCGCGUGUGAAAGCCCCGGGCUCAACCUGGGAACGGCGCGCGAGACGGGGGGGCUGGAGUUCGGGAGAGGAGCGUGGAAUUCCCAGUGUAGAGGUGAAAUUCGUAGAUAUUGGGAAGAACACCGGUGGCGAAGGCGGCGCUCUGGACCGAGACUGACGCUGAGGCGCGAAAGCGUGGGGAGCAAACAGG
rnacentral:rRNA from 1 species